rnacentral:rRNA from 1 species
UACAGAGGUCCCAAGCGUUGUUCGGAUUCAUUGGGCGUAAAGGGUGCGUAGGCGGCGCGGUAAGUCGGGUGUGAAAUCUCGGGGCUUAACUCCGAAACUGCAUUCGAUACUGCCGUGCUUGAGGACUGGAGAGGAGACUGGAAUUUACGGUGUAGCGGUGAAAUGCGUAGAUAUCGUAAGGAGGACCAGUGGCGAAGGCGGGUCUCGUGGACAGUUCCUGACGCUGGAGGCACGAAGGCCAGGGGGAGCAAACGGG